GGCACAGUGACUCCCACCGUCGCUCGAGUGAUGGGUCCAUGAGGCUGGGCGAAGCAGGAGCCCACUGUGGCAGUGCGUCGGUAUCGAGGCUCCAGCCUGACCUCUCCCAGGGGUCAACAGGAUGGUCUCCGGACGCCAGGAGUCGCGGAGGGCCGACCAGGUUUGUGAAGGCCGGUUCGACCUGGGGAGCUGCGUUGGUCCCACAGGGAUUGAAACCUCCCCAUCCUGAGCGUCCUACUUUCGAGGAUCAAGACAACCACACCACACCCAAGGACCAAAGCCUCCCAGGAGCUUAUUGUCCUGCAGGAGUGCGUGCAGACCAACAUCAAAGAAGAUGGUUCUAACUCCUCCCACCUCCCACCUUCUCCUCUCAUUAAGAAAUGUAGCCCCACCGCGACAGUCUUGGAGAAGAAGCCGGGAACGGGACGCGGCAAGGAUCUCUGUGACUUAAAUCUGGCCUUUCUGGCCCAGUCUCCCAUUUGGCACUUCUUCCUGGAUGCGCAUGAGUCUCGCUGUGUCACCCAGGCCGGAGUGCAGUGGUGCGAUGCACCAUCUCGGCUCUCGGCACGCUGCAACCUUCGCAACCUCUGCCUCCCGGGUUCAGUCGAUUCUCUUGACUCAGCCUCCUGCGAUUGGACUACAGGCAUGCACCACCAUACCCGGCUAAUUUUAGUAGAGACGGGGGUUUCACCAUGUUGGGCAGGCUUGUCUCGAACGCCUGACCUCGUGACUCCUGACCUGGUGAUCCGCCUGCCUCGGCCUCACGAAGUGUUGGGAUUACAGGCGUGAGCCACUGUGCCAGGCCAAGAGUAGUAAUCUUUUAACCGC
ensembl:lncRNA novel transcript